rnacentral:rRNA from 1 species
UACGUAGGUGGCAAGCGUUGUCCGGAAUUAUUGGGCGUAAAGGGCGCGUAGGCGGCCUUCUAAGUCAGAUGUGAAAUCCCUGGGCUUAACCUGGGUCGUGCAUUUGAAACUGGAGGGCUUGAGUGCAGGAGAGGAAAGUGGAAUUCCUAGUGUAGCGGUGAAAUGCGUAGAUAUUAGGAGGAACACCAGUGGCGAAGGCGACUUUCUGGACUGUAACUGACGCUGAGGCGCGAAAGCGUGGGGAG